rnacentral:pre_miRNA from 1 species
UCAGGGGAAAGGGGGUCCCUCAGCCUGGAUUGUGAGAGGGUGCAGACCAGGCCGAGGGACCCCACCAGUGCACA